GACGGAGGAUGCAAGCGUUAUCCGGAAUUAUUGGGCGUAAAGCGUCCGCAGGUGGCUGUUCAAGUCUGCUGUCAAAGCGCAGAGCUUAACUCUGUACAGGCGGUGGAAACUGAAGAGCUAGAGUAUGGUAGGGGUAGAGGGAAUUCCCGGUGUAGCGGUGAAAUGCGUAGAUAUCCGGAAGAACACCGGUGGCGAAGGCGGCCUGCUGGGCAGUAGCUGACACUGAGGCGCGACAGCGUGGGGAGCAAACAGG
rnacentral:rRNA from 1 species